CCUAAAAAUUAGUGUUAAUGCACCAAAUCCCUUUAGAACUCUGUAGUUAAGUGUGCUCAAGAUAGAGUAGUACUAGGUUGGGUGACUCCCUGGGUGAUCCAAAAAGGA
rnacentral:rRNA from 1 species